UAUAUUUGUCCCAUGCAUUGUUCCUGCUUCGCAAUCUGCGGAAAAGGAUUAAAAGGGAAUCGGGUGCAAAUCCCGGACAGUCCCGCUGCUGUAAGCUUCAAAACGGAUUGGGCAAUUCUUUUAUGCCACUGACGCGAGUUGGGAAGGCGCUCAUACCGGAAGUAAGUCAGAAGACCUGCAACGCAUAUUUUUUCGACG
rnacentral:ncRNA from 20 species